GCUGGGUGCCGUGGUAUGUGCCUGUAGUCCCAGCUACUCAGGAGGCUAAGGCUGGAGGAUCGCUUGAGUCCAGGAGUUCUGGGCGGUAGUGCGCUAUGCCAAUCGGGUGUCUGCAGUAAGUUCGGCAUCAAUAUGGUGACCUCCUGGGAGUAGGGGACCACCAGGUUGCCUAAGAAAGGGUGAACCGGCCCAGGUCAGAAAUGGAGCAGGUCAAAACUCCUGUGCUGAUCAGUAGUGGGAUCGCGCCUGCGAAUAGCCACUGCACUCCAGCCUGGGCAACAUAGUGAGACCCUGCCUGU
rnacentral:SRP_RNA from 1 species